AUGAUCCCAGUGGGAAAAGGGAGGAUUUUCCCUUCCAGAAGGUGCUUUUGGUGCUGGUGUGGAAUGGCUGAGGGCAGCAGGGACCUGCAGGAACGAGCUCUUCCCACAGAACUGUGGGGGUUCCAUGUGGGAAUCUGGGUUUGGGAUGGAUCUGGGAUCUCCAAGUGGGGGAUUUUGGGGAAUCUGAGUGUUUGGGAUGGAUCUGGGAUCUCCAAGUGGGGGAUUUUUGGGAAUCUGGGAUCUCCAAGUGGGGGAUUUUUGGGGAAUCUGUGUGUUUGGGAUGGCUCUGGGAUCUCCAAGUGGGGGAUUUUUGGGAAUCUGAGUGUUUGGGAUGGAUCUGGGAUCUCCAAGUGGGGGAUUUUUGGGGAAUCUGUGUGUUUGGGAUGGCUCUGGGAUCUCCAAGUGGGGGAUUUUUGGGAAUCUGUGUGUUUGGGAUGGCUCUGGGAUCUCCAAGUGGGGGAUUUUUGGGAAUCUGGGAUCUCCAAGGGGGGGAUUUUUGGGAAUCUGAGCUGUGUGUUUGGGAUGGAUCUGGGAUCUCCAAGUGGGGGAUUUUUGGGAAUCUGUGUGUUUGGGAUGGAUCUGGGAUCUCCAAGUGGGGGAUUUUGGGAAUCUGAGUGUUUGGGAUGGAUCUGGGAUCUCCAAGUGGGGGAUUUUUGGGAAUCUGUUUGGGAUGGCUGUGGGAUCUCCAAGUGGGGGAUUUUUUGGGAAUCUGGGAUCUCCAAGUGGGGGAUUUUUGGGAAUCUUGAGUGUUUGGGAUGGAUCUGGGAUCUCCAAGUGGGGGAUUUUUGGGAAUCUGAGCUGUGUGUUUGGGAUGGAUCUGCAACAUCCACGACCUCCAAGUGGUGGAUUUUGGGGAACACUCAAGUGCUGAGCUGGGAGGAGUUCCCUGGCUGUGCUGGGCAGGUGGGGAGGGAGGGCCCAUCCCUCCUGAUCCUCGGGAUGAGCCUCAUUCCCGCUUUUCCUCUGGCUCUGGGUGUUUCCUCCUGGCGCAGAGCCAGGAAAGGAGCUGGUGCUUUGUCAGUUCCUUCAGCUCAGGGACAUUCCAGUCCAGGAACAUUCCACAUUCCCAAGUGCUGCUGGGGUUCCCUGCCCUGCGUGGACAUUGCAGCCCUGUGGAUCCUUCUGUUCUGGGAUGAUUUCGAUUGUUUUCUUGGGAAUAAACAAACUUUUCCUGAUGCUGAACCUGUUCCUGCCUUCCUGAUUUCUCCUGCCUGGUGCCAGGUGUGUCCAUGGCGUGCUUUAACCUGUUCCAGGAUCUUUGGGAUUUCCCAAGCAGUGACCAGAGCUGCUGCCAUGGAGCUGCUGAUCCAUAAAUCCUGCAGAGCUCACAGAUCUGGAUUAAAUCCCUGAGGGAUGCCAGUGAUCCCAAGGAUGGAAAAAAAAAUCCCCAAAAGGUGUUGGCAGCAAAGAGCUCUGGAGAGUUCCCAGUGGGAAUGUGAUGGGAAAAGGGGACAGUUUGGAACACAGCACAGGAAAUGCUGCUUUUCCAAGCUCUGAUUCAGCUGAGCUUGGCAAGGAGGAAGCACCAAACAGAACUGAUGUUUUUAUAACCCAAUGUCUGCCAGGAAAUUUGUUCUGCAUUGGAUAUUUCUCAUC